GGUGAGUAAUACGUGAGUAACCUGCCUUUGACUCUGGGAUAAGCCUUGGAAACGAGGUCUAAUACCGGAUAUGACACAGUUUCGCAUGAAAUCUGUGUGGAAAGGGUUUGUACUGGUUUUAGAUGGGCUCACGGCCUAUCAGCUUGUUGGUGGGGUAAUGGCUCACCAAGGCGACGACGGGUAGCCGGCCUGAGAGGGUGACCGGCCACACUGGGACUGAGACACGGCCCAGACUCCUACGGGAGGCAGCAGUGGGGAAUAUUGCACAAUGGGCGCAAGCCUGAUGCAGCGACGCCUCGUGAGGGAUGACGGCCUUCGGGUUGUAAACCUCUUUCAGCAGGGGAGAAGCGAAAGUGACGGUACCUGCAUAGAAGCGCCGGCUAACUACGUGCCAGCAGCCGCGGUAAUACGUAGGGCGCGAGCGUUGUCCGGAAUUAUUGGGCGUAAAGAGCUUGUAGGCGGUUUGUCGCGUCUGCUGUGAAAGCCCGGGGCUUAACUCCGGGUUUGCAGUGGGUACGGGCUAACUAGAGUGCAGUAGGGGAGACU
rnacentral:rRNA from 1 species